UACGUAGGGGGCGAGCGUUGUCCGGAAUUACUGGGCGUAAAGGGUGCGUAGGCGGUAUGUUAAGUCAGGUGUGAAAUACCAUGGCUCAACUGUGGUGUUGCACAUGAAACUGGCAUACUAGAGUGCAGGAGAGGGAAGUGGAAUUCCUAGUGUAGCGGUGAAAUGCGUAGAGAUUAGGAGGAACACCAGUGGCGAAGGCGGCUUCCUGGCCUGUAACUGACGCUGAGGCACGAAAGCGUGGGGAGCAAAC
rnacentral:rRNA from 1 species